rnacentral:rRNA from 1 species
AGAUAAAACCCCUCUACUUAGUGCCCGGAUUAGGCACGCAAGUCGAACGAGGUAGGUGCCCCGUAAGGGGCGCAAGCCUAGUGGCGAAAGGGUGAGUAAUGCAUUGAUAACCUGCCUUUGAGAUGGGAAUAACAACGUUCCAAGCAAUUGGGGCUACCGAAAGGGUUGCUAAUACUCAAUAAAAUUAUUGUUGCUUCGGCAAUAAUAGUCAAAUAGGAGGAAUCGAAAGGUUUCGCUUGCUUGAAGAGGGGUCAAUGUCCUAUCAGCUAGUUGGUGGGGUAAUAGCCUACCAAGGCGAAGACGGGUAGCCGGCCUGAGAGGGUGGUCGGCCACACUGGGACUGAGAUACUGCCCAGACUCCUACGGGAGGCUGCAGUCGAGAAUCUUUCGCAAUGCCCGAAAGG